UUUCAAGACUCCAGACACAUCCAAAUGAGGCACUGCAUGUGGCAGUCUGCCUUUCUUA
rnacentral:sRNA from 1 species